rnacentral:rRNA from 1 species
AGAGCGAACGCUGGCGGCAGGCUUAACACAUGCAAGUCGAGCGGGCGUAGCAAUACGUCAGCGGCAGACGGGUGAGUAACGCGUGGGAACAUACCUUUUGGUUCGGAACAACACAGGGAAACUUGUGCUAAUACCGGAUAAGCCCUUACGGGGAAAGAUUUAUCGCCGAAAGAUUGGCCCGCGUCUGAUUAGCUAGUUGGUGAGGUAAUGGCUCACCAAGGCGACGAUCAGUAGCUGGUCUGAGAGGAUGAUCAGCCACAUUGGGACUGAGACACGGCCCAAACUCCUACGGGAGGCAGCAGUGGGGAAUAUUGGACAAUGGGCGCAAGCCUGAUCCAGCCAUGCCGCGUGAGUGAUGAAGGCCCUAGGGUUGUAAAGCUCUUUUGUGCGGGAAGAUAAUGACGGUACCGCAAGAAUAAGCCCCGGCUAACUUCGUGCCAGCAGCCGC